ACGUUGAAGCAGAAUUCAUGCUUUUGUGAAUACGAAAAAAUACGCAAAGUUAUUUAUUUAAAAUAAUAAUAUUUAUUUGCUUAGUAGUGAUGAAGUGCGAUUAAAAAUGAAAUAAUACCACACAGAAGCGCAGAGAGAUUAACGGUAAAAACAGUAACUUAAAAGCGUAGUCCCCAGACCCCCCGCGCGGUUUGGCAUUAUUGAAUUCUUUGUGUGAAAAAAGAAAUAAA